rnacentral:lncRNA from 12 species
AACCACCAACUCCCUCAUUCUCUUCAAACUAAUCUGGUAAUCCAUCUUAAUCUUCUCAGGUUUAUGAGAAAUGAGAUCUUGCCACCCAAAUUACUGAGGACUACAGAAAUCACUAAUGAAGGAGAAGGACUUGAGUCUAGAAAUUUCUUAGUCCAAAGCCUAUUGUGGGCAACAAGGAAAAAACUUAUUUAAGAAAGGAGAAUGAGUUUGUUCCUAAGGUAAGAAAACCAAUACGCCCAGUUAUUGAGAGCCAAGAAAGGCAGAGAUGGAGGAAAUUAGAUAAUGAGCUAAUAUUCAUCCCUAAUUUACAUUUGCUUUCAUGCAUAGAUUUGUCUGUCUUUCCAUUCUGUCCUAUGGGACUCCAUUCUACUAAGUGCAGACUUUAUACUUUCUCAAAACAUUUUCUCAGCUCUAGUUUUAUUAAAAAUCUGCUUAUAAGGGUGCCUAGGUGGUGCAGAGGUUAAGUGUCCAACUCUUGGUGUCAGCUCAGGUCGUGAUCUCAGGGUCAUUAGAUAGAGCCCCACAUUGGCCUCCACAUUCAGUGCAGAGUCUGCUUAAGACUCUUUCUCCUUUUCCCUCUGCCUCUCCCCACCCUAUGCUCGCACACACACUCUCUCUCUCAAAUAAAUAAAUACAUAUAUUUUUUUAAAAUGUGCUUAUUUAAUGAUAACACAGUGCUAUCCUGUACCAUUUUCUAUGUAAUGUUCACUUCACUGACACACUUAGACAUUAGCAAAGGAGCCCCAACUUACGCACUAAAUAUUAGAGGAACCCAUUGAACUUUCUUUCAUCUGUCCUUUCAGUGGGUUGAGAUAUCUCUGGGGCCAAGUGAUAUACUUGUGCCUUCCCUCUCAGAGCACACUCAGGUCCCAAGGAAAACAGAACUUCAUGUUCCCUGCAGAGACCACUUCCUCUGGCCAUACUCCAAAAGUGCCUACCAUACUGCUAGUGUGUACAACUCUAGGCCCAAGGGGAUGGCCAGGAAGUGGUUGUAUGUGGAGAGUGAGGGCAAAGACUACAAAAGUGGGCUAAGAAUAGGAAGAGAAAAAGAGGUGUACACCAGAAGCCAGCAUGAAACUCCAAGGAAUUCCAGAAUUAUAAUUGCAACUGGGACAAAAGGCUGUGGCAGACAAAAGAACUAAGGGCAUUCUCCAGCUGACAAUCAGAAAUAAACUUGGACUGUCAGUCCA